rnacentral:lncRNA from 1 species
AGUGCAGGUCUGCAGGAAGGGCCUGCCUCCACUCAUGCAGGUACCUGGGAUCACCUGUCCAUUGGCUACACUGCCCUUUAGGGCCUCCAAAUCCCCAGCUGAAUUAUUCCCAUCCAUCUAGUAGGAAAGGAAAAAAGAAUGUUGAAGGAUCAUGCAAAAUGUUUUAGGGGCCAGUCCUGGACGUAAAAUAUGUUACAUUGGCUAGAAUGCUGUUACACAUUGCCACCUAUUUCAAGAGAUGCUGAGAUUUGGAGUCUUCUUGGGUGCCCAGAGAUUUGAGUAUCACCUAGCACUGUUUCUGCUUCAGAAAAAAUAUCCCUUGACAUUGGCUGUGAUACCUACCAACCUGAAAAAAUAUCCCUUGACAUUGGCUGUGAUACCUACCAAGCUCACAGGAAAUGGAAGUAGAACUCUGAAGCUAAAUCAGAGGACUCCAAGCAAAUGAAGUGACUGAAAGCAAGAAUGGCUCAUUGCCCUUGAGCUACACAGAAAUGUAUAGGUGGGUGUAUUGGGUCGGUUCCCUGGAAGCACAACCUCAGAUGGGGAUUCUUGUGCAAAAGAUACACGGAGGAAGAGCUCAAGGAAGUAACUUGCAAUGAAGCAAGGGGAGCAAGCUGGAGCAGGAGAAAAGAUCAGGCAAAGGCAUGCUUUCAGAAGUCUAGCCUCGGCCUCAUCCACAGGGAGCUCCAGAGAGUGAAUGGUACCAUGCAGCUGGUCAACCUUCUUGGAGGAGGGAGCUGCUGAUAGCCUUCAGUAGACAGCACUUGCACUAGCCAAGGGAUGAGUGCACCAGCCCAGUGGAGGGGAUCUGGGUAGAGCACCUAUGCCAUCUGCUAUAAUAGACUCUACGUGUCUUCUAGGAAGGACAUGCUUUUCCUUUUCGUAUCCUCUACCUGAAGCAAUAUAUCACGUACUCAGCAGACGCUCAAUAAGUGUUUGAGAAAUGAAGAAACAAAAAGACAGAGGGAAGGAGAGAAGAAAAGAAACAAGAUUACAGAAAAUUCUAAAAUACUCUUGGGCUCCAAGAAAUGCAUCUUCAAAUAAGGAACUUCACAUACUUAUGCUGAGCAAUGAGAGAGAUAUUUUGAGAAACCUGAAAAAAUAAGAGAACUUUGAGUUUUCAGUGCUCUGGAAAUGGCAAAAAGGAAUCCCGCCAUGGACGACCUGCUCCUUGCUCCAGCCUGGCCAGUGCUUUGAAGUGAUAACACCAAGAGUUGCUGUUUAGGAAGGCAAGGAAGAAACAUCAGUGUCUCGUCUAGCCUCAGAAAAAAACGACUUCCUAUUUUUACUACUGUUAUGAAUCCCUCACUCAUGGACACCUUUGUGACGUGACUUCCAAGUUGCUAUUCUAUUUUCUGGCUGGAACCUGCAAACUCCAAUCUGGAAGUAUAUCUCUUUAGGGAAAGGGAAGGAAGACCAGAACCAGUGUUUAUUAAAUACCUACUAAAUGUCAAAUUUACUAUGCAUAGCUCUACAUAUGCUAUAUAAAUUACCCAUGAAAAAAA